UGGGGAAUAUUGCACAAUGGACGGAAGUCUGAUGCAGCAACGCCGCGUGCGGGAUGACGGCCUUCGGGUUGUAAACCGCUUUUUCUCAUGACGAAGUUUUUUGACGGUAGUGGGGGAAGAAGCACCGGCUAACUACGUGCCAGCAGCCGCGGUGAUACGUAGGGUGCGAGCGUUGUCCGGAAUUAAUGGGCGUAAAGAGCUUGUAGGCGGUUUGUCGCGUCGAUAGUGCAAACUCAGUGCUUAACGCUGAGCCUGCUGUUGAUACGGGCAGACUAGAGGAAGGUAGGGGAGAAUGGAAUUCCCGGUGGAGCGGUGGAAUGCGCAGAUAUCGGGAGAAACACCGGUGGCGAAGGCGGUUCUCUGGGCCUUUCCUGACGCUGAGAAGCGAAAGCGUGGGGAGCGAACAGG
rnacentral:rRNA from 1 species